UGAGGAAUAUUGCGCAAUGGGCGAAAGCCUGACGCAGCAACGCCGCGUGGGCGAUGAAGGCCUUCGGGUUGUAAAGCCCUUUUCUGAGGGAAGAGGAAGGACGGUACCUCAGGAAUAAGUCUUGGCUAACUACGUGCCAGCAGCCGCGGUAAAACGUAGGAGGCGAGCGUUAUCCGGAUUUACUGGGCGUAAAGCGCGCGCAGGCGGUUUCGUAAGUUGGACGUGAAAUCUCUUGGCUCAACUGGGAGGGGUCGUCUAAUACUGCGAGACUUGAGGUCGGGAGAGGGAAGUGGAAUUCCCGGUGUAGUGGUGGAAUGCGUAGAUAUCGGGAGGAACACCAGUGGCGAAGGCGGCUUCCUGGCCCGCACCUGACGCUCAAGCGCGAAAGCGUGGGGAGCGAACGGGAUUAGAUACCCCGGUAGUCCACGCUGUAAACGAUGGGUACUAGGUGUUGGUGGUAUUGACCCCAUCAGUGCCGAAGCUAACGCGAUAAGUACCCCGCCUGGGGACUACGAGCGCAAGCUUA
rnacentral:rRNA from 1 species